AGUGAACGCUGGCGGUAGGCCUAACACAUGCAAGUCGAACGGCAGCACAGUAAGAGCUUGCUCUUACGGGUGGCGAGUGGCGGACGGGUGAGGAAUACAUCGGAAUCUACUUUUUCGUGGGGGAUAACGUAGGGAAACUUACGCUAAUACCGCAUACGACCUACGGGUGAAAGCAGGGGAUCUUCGGACCUUGCGCGAUUGAAUGAGCCGAUGUCGGAUUAGCUAGUUGGCGGGGUAAAGGCCCACCAAGGCGACGAUCCGUAGCUGGUCUGAGAGGAUGAUCAGCCACCCUGGAACUGAGACACGGUCCAGACUCCUACGGGAGGCAGCAGUGGGGAAUAUUGGACAAUGGGCGCAAGCCUGAUCCAGCCAUACCGCGUGGGUGAAGAAGGCCUUCGGGUUGUAAAGCCCUUUUGUUGGGAAAGAAAAGCAGCAGGUUAAUACCCCGCUGUUCUGACGGUACCCAGAGAAUAAGCACCGGCUAACUUCGUG
rnacentral:rRNA from 1 species